AUAUCCCGGGAAACUGGGGGUAAUGCUCUAUAGUCCGGGAAAACUGGAAUGUUUUCCGGAUGAAAGAUCCGUCGCUUCAGGAUGAGUCUGCGGCCGAUUAGGUAGUUGUUGGGGUAAAAGCCCAACAAGCCCGUAAUCGGUACGGGUUGCGGGAGCAAGAGCCCGGAGAUGGAUUCUGAGACACGAAUCCAGGCCCUACGGGGCGCAGCAGGCGCGAAAACUUUACAAUGCGGGCAACCGUGAUAAGGAAACCCCGAGUGCCAGCACAGGCUGGCUGUCCACCAGUGUAAACAACUGGUGAAGAAAGGGCCGGGCAAGACCGGUGCCAGCCGCCGCGGUAAUACCGGCGGCUCGAGUGGUGGCCGCUUUUACUGGGCUUAAAGGGUCCGUAGCUGGAUUCACAAGUCCCUUGAGAAAUCUAUCGGCUUAACUGAUAGGCGUUCAGGGGAUACUGUGGUUCUAGGGACCGGGAGAGGUGAGAGGUACUGCCGGGGUAGGAGUGAAAUCCUGUAAUCCCGGUGGGACGACCUAUAGCGAAGGCAUCUCACCAGAACGGCUCCGACAGUGAGGGACGAAAGCUGGGGGAGCAAACCGGAUUAGAUACCCGGGUAGUCCCAGCUGUAAACGAUGCGCGUUAGGUGUGUCAGUGACCACGUGUCACUGAUGUGCCGAAGGGAAACCGUGAAACGCGCCGCCUGGGGAGUACGGUCGCAAGGCUGAAACUUAA
rnacentral:rRNA from 1 species